UGAAUUUCCUUUUUCAGUUACUAGGUAAGAUCAAUAUAUGCUUUUUCUUUUUCUAAUAUUUAUAAUUUAAUGGUAUAUUUUUAGAUUGUUUAUUUUAAUUUCUAUUUUCAUCUUUGAAUUAUCUAUGACUCGUCUAUCAUUGUGUUUAUAAUUUUUUUUAAUUAGGUCAAAUUAGUUUCUAUUAAUUUUUCAACCUUUAUCGAUUGGUCAUAGAUGCAUUCUAUUCAAAUCGAUUUUUUUAAUCUAUUUUAGUUUUCUUAUAAAUACAUCAAAAGAUUAUUGCUACAUGAUCUAUUUUUCAUUCGGAAUAUUUUAUGAGUCCAAAAAUUUAGUGGUUAAAGAAACUAUGCAAAAGUGAAAAUAAGCUUAAUGUGUUCAUGGAUACAUAUUGCAGGUAGUGAUAAAAAACAUAUUUCAAGAGUAAAAUAUGAUUGAAUGUAAAACACAUUUUUAGUUGUAAAGUAGAGUUGUAAAUAGAUUUAAAUAAGUUGACCGAAUUGUUUGUAUGAAAAAUAUUCUCUCCAGUGGCAAGGAUUAAGUUUACGUUUAUGUUGACUAGCCUGAAGGUAUUGUGGUUCAAGCAAAAAAAGGUUCUUGAGUUGUAUUGUGGGUACAACAGAUUUGGUAUGUGGUAAAACAGAGUCGUUAGAGACCUAGUGACUGAAGGUUAAGUUGUCUUGGAGUAUUGUAGCACAAACGAGUAGAGUAUUGAUGUUCUGACAAAGAUAUUGUUGAAGAAAAAUUUUGAUUUCUUCAAGAGUAAGCUUGGAGUAUGCAAGUUUGAAUCAAGGGAGAGUGUGGAAAACGGAUUCAAACAUGAGUAAACAUGGGAGUUAAGUGUGUUAAAUGCAUAUUUGUCAGUUUUGGUUUUCAUAUUAAUUUGGGGCUUUCAAUUUUAUGUUUAAUUGUAGGAGAUAAAUGAGUCCAUGUGGUUUAAUGGGUGGAGUUACGUUUUAUUUCUAUAUAUUAAUGUAGUCUCAUUUGUGAGAAAUCAUUAGAGACAUGAAAAAGUUACAACAGAGUAAAUUAUC
rnacentral:lncRNA from 1 species